AACGAACGCUAUCGGUAUGCUUAACACAUGCAAGUCGAACGGACUAAUUGGGGCUUGCUCCAAUUAGUUAGUGGCAGACGGGUGAGUAACACGUGGGAAUCUACCCAUCAGUACGGAAUAACUUUUAGAAAUAAAAGCUAAUACCGCAUAUUCUCUACGGAGGAAAGAUUUAUCGCUGAUGGAUGAGCCCGCGUCAGAUUAGGUAGUUGGUGAGGUAAUGGCUUACCAAGCCGACGAUCUGUAGCUGGUCUGAGAGGAUGAUCAGCCACACUGGGACUGAGACACGGCCCAGACUCCUACGGGAGGCAGCAGUGGGGAAUAUUGGACAAUGGGCGAAAGCCUGAUCCAGCAAUACCGAGUGAGUGAUGAAGGCCUUAGGGUUGUAAAGCUCUUUUA
rnacentral:rRNA from 1 species